rnacentral:rRNA from 1 species
UACGGAGGGUGCAAGCAUUAAUCGGAUUUAUUGGGCGUAAAGAGUGCGUAGGCGGGAAAAUAAGUCGGACGUGAAAUCCCGGGGCUCAACCCCGGAACAGCAUCUGAAACUAUUUUUCUUGAGGUUAGUCGGAGAAAACGGAAUUCCACAAGUAGCGGUGAAAUGCGUAGAUAUGUGGAAGAACACCUGUGGCGAAAGCGGUUUUCUAGAUUAUACCUGACGCUGAGGCACGAAAGCAAGGGGAUCAAACAGG